rfam:Streptomyces sp. CNQ-509, complete genome.
CUUGAUCGAGCCGAGCCACAGCGGCCGUUCCGCCGAGUGCUCACGCCCGUACGUCGCCAGCAGCGCUUCCGCCUC